rnacentral:rRNA from 1 species
CAGUCGUACGCUUCUUUUUCCCCGGAGCUUGCUCCACCGGAAAAAGAAGAGUGGCGAACGGGUGAGUAACACGUGGGUAACCUGCCCAUCAGAAGGGGAUAACACUUGGAAACAGGUGCUAAUACCGUAUAACAAUCGAAACCGCAUGGUUUUGAUUUGAAAGGCGCUUUCGGGUGUCGCUGAUGGAUGGACCCGCGGUGCAUUAGCUAGUUGGUGAGGUAACGGCUCACCAAGGCCACGAUGCAUAGCCGACCUGAGAGGGUGAUCGGCCACAUUGGGACUGAGACACGGCCCAAACUCAUACGGGAGGCAGCAGUAGGGAAUCUUCGGCAAUGGACGAAAGUCUGACCGAGCAACGCCGCGUGAGUGAAGAAGGUUUUCGGAUCGUAAAACUCUGUUGUUAGAGAAGAACAAGGAUGAGAGUAACUGUUCAUCCCUUGACGGUAUCUAACCAGAAAGCCACGGCUAACUACGUGCCAGCAGCCGCGGUAAUACGUAGGUGGCAAGCGUUGUCCGGAUUUAUUGGGCGUAAAGCGAGCGCAGGCGGUUUCUUAAGUCUGAUGUGAAAGCCCCCGGCUCAACCGGGGAGGGUCAUUGGAAACUGGGAGACUUGAGUGCAGAAGAGGAGAGUGGAAUUCCAUGUGUAGCGGUGAAAUGCGUAGAUAUAUGGAGGAACACCAGUGGCGAAGGCGGCUCUCUGGUCUGUAACUGACGCUGAGGCUCGAAAGCGUGGGGAGCAAACAGGAUUAGAUACCCUGGUAGUCCACGCCGUAAACGAUGAGUGCUAAGUGUUGGAGGGUUUCCGCCCUUCAGUGCUGCAGCUAACGCAUUAAGCACUCCGCCUGGGGAGUACGACCGCAAGGUUGAAACUCAAAGGAAUUGACGGGGGCCCGCACAAGCGGUGGAGCAUGUGGUUUAAUUCGAAGCAACGCGAAGAACCUUACCAGGUCUUGACAUCCUUUGACCACUCUAGAGAUAGAGCUUCCCCUUCGGGGGCAAAGUGACAGGUGGUGCAUGGUUGUCGUCAGCUCGUGUCGUGAGAUGUUGGGUUAAGUCCCGCAACGAGCGCAACCCUUAUUGUUAGUUGCCAUCAUUUAGUUGGGCACUCUAGCAAGACUGCCGGUGACAAACCGGAGGAAGGUGGGGAUGACGUCAAAUCAUCAUGCCCCUUAUGACCUGGGCUACACACGUGCUACAAUGGGAAGUACAACGAGUCGCGAAGUCGCGAGGCUAAGCUAAUCUCUUAAAGCUUCUCUCAGUUCGGAUUGUAGGCUGCAACUCGCCUACAUGAAGCCGGAAUCGCUAGUAAUCGCGGAUCAGCACGCCGCGGUGAAUACGUUCCCGGGCCUUGUACACACCGCCCGUCACACCACGAGAGUUUGUAACACCCGAAGUC